rnacentral:rRNA from 1 species
UUAUAGUUUAUUUGAUGGUCACUUUUACAUGGAUAACCAUGGUAAUUCUAUGGCUAAUACAUGCGCACUUGCCUCCUUCUUUGGAGGGGCUGUGUUUAUUAGAUACAAAACCAACCCACUUUGUGGAGUCCUGGUGAUUCAUAGUAACCGAACGGAUCGCAGUUGGCUUCGGCCCGCGAUAUAUCUUUCAAGUUUUUGACCUAUCAGCUUUCGACGGUAGGGUAUUGGCCUACCGUGGCAGUGACGGGUAACGGGGAAUUAGGGUUCGAUUCCGGAGAGGGAGCCUGAGAAACGGCUACCACAUCUAAGGAAGGCAGCAGGCGCGCAAAUUACCCAAUGAAAACAGCUUCGAGGUAGUGACGAGAAAUAACAAUACAGGGCAUUUUUUGUUCUGUAAUUGGAAUGAUGGGAAUGUAAAACCCUUUCAGAGUAACAAUUGGAGGGCAAGUCUGGUGCCAGCAGCCGCGGUAAUUCCAGCUCCAAUAGUGUAUAUUAGAGUUGUUGCAGUUAAAAAGCUCGUAGUUGGAUUUCUGUCGUGGUCAUCCGGUUCCGCCCGUAUGGGUGUGCACCUGGUUUGCCCUCGGCUUUCUUCCGUUUGCCUCUUGGCGCUUCAUUGCGUCUUUUGGUUUUUCGGAACUUUUACUUUGAGAAAAAUAGAGUGUUUCAAGCAGGCUUGUCGCCCUGAAUACUUCAGCAUGGAAUAAUAAGAUAGGACCUUGGUUCUAUUUUGUUG